UACGUAGGUGACAAGCGUUGUCCGGAUUUACUGGGCGUAAGAGCGCGCAGGCGGUCGAUCAAGUCGAGUGUGAAAGCCCCCGGCUCAACUGGGGAGGGUCAUUCGAUACUGAUCGACUCGAAGGCAGGAGAGGGUAGUGGAAUUCCCGGUGUAGUGGUGAAAUGCGUAGAUAUCGGGAGGAACACCAGUGGCGAAGGCGACUACCUGGCCUGUUCUUGACGCUGAGGCGCGAAAGCUAGGGGAGCAAACGGG
rnacentral:rRNA from 1 species